rnacentral:tRNA from 1 species
GGCGCUGUAGCCAAAUGGCUAAGGCAGCGGUUUGCAAAACCGCCAUGUUCCGGUUCGAAUCCGGACAGCGCCU